GUAAUAAUAAUGUUAAUGAUCAUUUUAUUUCUGACCUUAACACAUCUUAUUUAUAAUAGUAAAAAUAAUAAUAAUAGAGUCAAAUGAUGGUAUUAAUGAUAAAAUACAAUACUAAUGAAGUAAACAUUACUAUUAUUAGAUAGUGAUAAUAUUAUGAUAACAAUAAUAAUGAUAAUUACUAUAAUAAACAAUACAUGCUUCAUUUGAGCCAAACGAGAAAAUGUAGUUCUCUGCUAUCAGCGUGAAAAAUUAUUUAUCUGCUCAUGACAAUUAGUUUUUAAAAAAGUAUUACUAUGACGACUGUAAUGUUAUUGUAAUCAUUAUCAUUAUUAUCACUCACUGUCACCCCCAAUACAAAAGUAAAUACAUGAUAACCGUGGUGUGUGUGAGGCGCCACAAGAUUUCAGUUGAGUGCCAACAGCUUGUGAAAAACUUCAUUUUCAAAGGUCAAAGGUCUUGCGUACCUUAGCGAUGACCAGGUGGCCGACGCCUUUCCCGUCUGUUUUCACGGCGAAGACCUCGUCAUCAUUGCCUUCUGAGAUGUGGAACUCGAUGUAGGAGCUGCCGCUUUCCGGGUCGUCCGCAUCUGACGCCGUGAUGCUGAGCACCGUGUGUCCUACGUCCACGUCCUCCGCCAGCGUGUGGCUGCCAUACUGCACGCCGCAACACACACACAUAUUAACACACACACAUAUACAACACACGUUUCUGUGUGCCCUUACAUCAUUCUUCUCAAAGAGAGGCAGCUCGUUGUUGACAUCAAUGACCUUGACCACAACCUUGCAAUCUGCACUGUAAGCUGAGGGACAGACGUGAUGAACACACGACACACCACUAAGUGUGUGUGUGUGUGUGUGUGCGUCUUACCUGGAUCACUGACUCGGACGCUGAGCUUGUACACCUGAUGCUCUCGACGCUGCAGCGAGCGCAGUGCUUGAAUUCGACCAGAGGCGGCGUCGAUGGCGAAGGAGCCAAGCGAGGUGGUCGGCUCUUGGGACACGAUGGUGUAGGUCAGCAGAGCGUUGAGCGUCCCUUCUUCGUCGUCAUCGUGGGCCAGCAGUUGUCCAACCAGGCUGCCUGAAAGCACAAGAAAGAGUGAGAAGCCAGUGCGACGUUUCAUUACUUUGUACAUUUUAACAUGAAAUAUUUUUACAUUUACUGUAUUUAUUUAUUAAACAGUAUACUUGAGCCAAAAUGGACGCCACGUCCCACACGAUAAGGCAGUGGAGAAAGGUAAUGUUAAUAAGGAAAGCUAUAACGUAAGUAGUAAGCAGGGGUGUCUUUUUCCAGGAAGGGCCACAAAGGGCCACAUAAAUGACAGGACGCAAGGGCCACUUGGAUAUUUUGUAAAAUCUGCUAAGAAGUUUGAUAUAUUUCAAGAAAAAACUGCAUCUCAGCUUUGUGAAAGAGUACUGCUUGUAUGAACUUCGAUCUUUACUCUUUUUUUCCCAUUUUUGCUGGGUUAUUUUCAAAUAUUUCAACUUUCUUGUCAAAUAAUCUCCUUUUAAAUCUUCAUGUCAUGAUAUUACAACGUUAUUCCCAUAACAUUUUGACGUUAUUCCCGUAGGAUUAUAACUUUUUCCCCAACCUAAUUCUCCAGAAAUGACAACUUUGUUUUGUUUUGUUUGUUUCUCAUAACAUUGUAACUUUAAAUAACAUUUCAACUCUAUGCUACUAAAUAGGGAUGUCCCGAUCCCAUCUUCAGGAUCGGGAUCGGCUGCCGAUCCGCUGUACUUUGAAGAUCGGAUAAUUUCGGCUUCGGCCACGAGAUCGGGCUGAUUCGGUUGCCGUAUAACGUUUGGAACUCUAGGUCACUCUCCAACAUGGUAGGUGUGGUAAUGCCACUCGACUCCCGCCACCCGCAAGAAGAAGAAAACGCAACACCCCCAUGCAGACAUGUCCACGGUGUACCGUGGUGAAGAUAGUUUCACAGUGGAUGUUCCGCUCCGUAGAUACGGCGGUAUCUCCCCCUCACUGUGCCCGGACUGCUGUGUCAUUGUGCGAGGAGAUUGCACAGGAAGUGCCGGUCUAACUGCUGGUUGGUUAUACUAGAUACUAUCAUAGAUUUAGCAGUGAGUGAUUUUGACGGGAAUACAGGUAAACUCAAUCCAUGCCAGCAAGUAACUUAUUCUUACAAUCCACUGUAAACAUGUCCUAGAACGUCUCACCUACAGGCUCAUCCUCCUGCACCUCAAACACACUCUCCUCAUUCACACACACGGGUGCGUUGUCGUUCACGUCCUCCACCACGACCUGGAUCUCCAUGGGUGGAUCCACCUGGUUCUGAUACUCAUCCUCUGCCAUCGCCACCAGGAUGUACUGAAAGACAAGCAAGACCAAGCUCACCGUCAGCCCUCCGUGGAACAAUAAUGACGUAGGAGAGCUUUAUUGUUGUUCACCAUGUCCUUCUCUUCCCUGUCCAACUCCUCCGUCAGGAGGAUUUCUCCAUCUUCUGUGAUCUGGAAGGGGAAGGUCAGCUCUCUGUCUUUCUGUACAAGCCUGUAGACGGCGUUAGGAUCGUUGGAUUGGACCUAAAAGCAGACACCGCGAUGAGUACUCGUGACUUGUCAAGCAUCUUCAUCUCAGAAGUGUCCUCACCUUUGCAACGAUACGCGGGUGAAGAAGGGAUUCUCUUCAUGUGGGAUGGUCGGCGCGGGACAGUAGUCGUCAAACUUUGCCUUCAGAGCGUCAACGCCACGGUCUUCUCCUCUGGCGUACUGGAUUGUCUCACUGGCCGUGAGGCUUUGUUCACCUGUUUGUUCACAAUGAUGCUCAUUCAGCAAGAAGACGGACUUUUUCGGUGGAACACGAUAUGGAACUGAUUGUGACGCCGGAAAAAGUGGAACACGUGUCUCUUCCCUAGGUGAGCUCCUACACAGUAUCAGGGAUGGAUCCAAGAAAGGAGAUUACCCUCCGUAUUUCAUAGGUGGAAAUGUUUAAAAUGGGGAUAUGAAUUAGGUAAUAAAUACUUUGCAAACAUUGGACCAAAUCUGCAAGAAAAGAUCCCAAAUUACUUGUCAGCGGAAGAAGGGAAUUCAAUCAUAGACAGGAAGUCCAUGUUCCUCACUGAUGUGGCAAAAAAAGAAAUAAUUGAUAUUGUCAAUAAAAGUAAAGCAAAAACAUCAACUGAUUGUAAUGAAAUGGAAAUGGAAACGAUAAAAAAGGUAAUGAACGAGAUUUUGUUGUACAUCAGUAAUUUAUCAUUUAAGAUGGAUAUAUUUCCAAAUAAAAUGAAAAUAGCUAAAGUAGCACCAAUUUUCAAAACUGGAGACAAACAUCAUUUCAAGUACCAACCAGUUUCUUUAUUGCCACAAUUUCCUCAAAAUCAUUGAAAAGCUAUGAAAAAAAGCUAUGAAGAAAGAAUGACUUAUUCACGGACAGCCAAUACGGAUACAACUUCCUUGGCACUACUUGAAAUAAGCGAGGAAAUUACCAACGCUGUAGACUGCAGAGAGUGCGCAGGUGCAGUAUCUAUGGAUCUGACAAACGCACUUGAUACAAUUCAUAUUAUCUUAAUUAACAAACCAGAACGGUAUGGAAUCAGAGGGCCAGUACUGAACUGGGUAAAAAGCUGCUUAGCAAACUGGAAGCAAUAUGUGAAGCUAGGAGAAUAUACAGUACAACUGCAAGCUUAAAUAUAUCAUGCGGCAUACCCCAGGGGUCAAUACGGGGACCAAAACUGUUCAACCUAUAUAUAAAUGACAUCCAUAAAGCAACAAAAGACCUAAAGCUAGUAUUAUUUGCAGACGAUACCACUGCAUUUUGUUCUGGAGAAUUUACGAGCUAAUAAAAUAAGUACAGUAAGCUAUAAUAAGUAAAAUAAGUAAGAGCUAAUAAAGAAAGUCACAGAUGCAAUAACUGUACUAGAAAGAUGGUUUGAUAAAAACAGAUUGUCCCUGAACCUACUGUAGAUAAAGCUAAAAUAAUGCCGUCUGGUAAUAGCAUACAAUACAAUACAAUACAAAUAGAUGGCGUGGACGUUGACAGGGUGAAUGAUAAUACAUUUCUCUAAAAUGAGCCCACGUGAAAAAUAUACAACAUAAAGUGGCAAAAAAUAUGUCUAUACUGAAUAAAGCAAAAUAGGUCCUGGUCCAAAAAUCACUUGACUUGUUCUCUGGUUUUACCAUAUCUAACGUAUUGUGUGGAGAUACGGGGCAAUUACUAUGAAAGUUCACUUCACCCACUAACUGUGCUACAAAAAAGUUCAGUUAGGGUCAUCCAUAAUGCCGCUUAUAGAGAACAUACCAUCCCUUUAUUCCUAAAAUCACAACUAUUACAUUUGUUGACCUGGUAAACCUUCAAACAGCUAAAAUUAUGCAAAAAACAACCAGCUACCCAAAAACGUAAUCAUGACGAGAGAAGAAAUAUGAUCUUAGGGAAAAAAUAAACUGAAAACACAUACGCACGAACGACACUAAAAACCUUCAGCAUAUCAGCAUGUGGAAUCCAGUUCUGGAACAAAUUGAGUAAAGAACCCAAAUAAUGCACUAAACUGAGCCAUUUCAAGAAACGGUACAAGCAGUUGAUGUUUACAAAAUAUAAGGAAGAAGAAUCCGGAGGCGCAGGGAAACACCUGAACAAUGCUAUGUCAUAUGACAACUGCACUUUAUGCAAUUGUAUGCAAAUUGCAGCAAUUUGUUCAUACAGAUUUACACACCUCAACUUCAUUGUAACACACUGAUAUAUUUCUUGAUCAUUUUCUCAUGUUAUUUCAGAAGUGGCAAAGGGCACAUGCUGAAAAGGAAGUGAACAAAUGUAUUAGCAAUUGAUGUGAAACAAAGAGCGGGUAGAAUUGAAUAAGCUCUGCUUCUUCCUACUCCUUUUGGACAUGUGGAAUUGUGAAUUGUAAAAUGUGAUGUAUACCGAAGUAAAACAUAUGUAUGUUCAAAUAAAAUCAAACCAUUUCCAUUACCAUAGUUACUCCGUACAAUAAGGAUACACUGACAAUACGUAAAGAAGGGAACGUAGUCGGCUGUUUAUGUGAAGAGACUCACCUCCCAGUUCUGUCCAUUAAAGUGAAAGCUGAUUACACUCCUUUUUGUUUCUGAGUUGCACUACUUUUAGCAGAGUUUAACUUCUUUUUACACUUGAAUGAUUACUUUUUAAGCCAUGUUUGAGAACAGAAAACAAAUACAGUCGUCCCUCAUUGCUUCUGGUUCCAGACCCGACCGCACUAAGUGAAUUUCCAUGAAGUAGAAUUCAAUAUUAAUAAACUGAAUAUUUACGUAAUUAGAUCAUAGAAAACUUGUUUACGACUUCCUAAAUGCAGAUUUAGCCCUGUACACAUGAAAUAACACCCUUUUAGUCACUUUUACACUCCUAUUAUUCUUUGUUUGCAACACAUUGGGCAGGCUGCGGCCGCUAGCAUAGCAAGCUACCAAACUAACUAGUUAGCCUCUCCAAUUUACUUAUUCUAAACUUAAGAAAGUGUUUCAAACAGACAGGGCAAGAAGGACAAAGAAGCCCAAAACUUACCACUUCCACAUAGAAUGAGAGGAGAACCUUUUUUCUAUUCGAUCUCAGCCAUGACAUGUCGGCUCGGCUCUGCUGGCUCAGUAGCUAGUCUCCAUGCAGUGUGAAAGGUAAUGUAAUCUAACGUCAUGUCUCAUAACAUUACCGAUUCCUGGUGACCACAAUACUACAUUCAACUUGUCUUUCAAUAUUUUCAACUAAUAAUAGGGCAUAGUCAACCGUACAACAGUUGUAGUGUGUUAACAGUGCUGUGUCCAUCCAGAUGUUAACUAGUCUUCUCCAGUCACUCACGUGCUUCCUGAUUCAGAGUAAUCAAAGUGGUGUUCAAUCUCAUGCUAUUUAUUUCAGCAGUCUGCCUCCAAUCUGUGUUAAUCUUGCCCACACAAAAUGAGUGUAAUCCGGCUUGACAGUGGCACUAUGCCGCCAGAUUACAGGCAUGGAUAGACAGAUUACUGGCAUCUCGCUCUGUGCACGUGAGCUGUGGGAGCGACAAGAGGAGCACCUUGUUGGGAUGUGGAGAUCUCGCCGGUGGUGGGGUCCACCUGGAAGAGCAGACUGUUUUCCCUGUUGGGGAUCUGGCUGACCAGGCUGUAUCUCAGUUGGGCGUUGGGAGUGGAGGGGUCAUCCCGAUCGGACGCAAACACACGAAUGAAGGGGACGCCUGCAGUGGUACAUUACAGUUAGGUCGAAUUUCCACUUUCUCUUAUUAAGACCUCUCACAGACCUGCUGGAGAGUUCUCUCGGACCAGAGCAGUGUAGUAACUCUGAUUGAAGACUGGAGCGUGGUUGUUGACGUCCAACACAUUUAUGGUCACGUAAAUUGGCCCUUCCGCGACUUUAUCAUCUACCAAAGCGUCCACCUGGACACACACACACAUUCAGUCAUACAGUCCAUGUUCAAUUUGAAAACAUCAUGUUUUUUUCUGUUUUUCUGGGGUUUUUUUUAAAUAUUUUAUUUAUUCAUUUUCUAUUUGAUUUCUCUAUGCUGUGUAAACGUUUUACAUGAGCACUGAUAAAUAGAUAACACGUGACUUUCUCUUGGAGACGAAUAAAGUAUCUUAUUUGUCCUACAUAUCUUUGAUUUCAGCAGGAUGUUGGGAUGCUUCCCUUUGAAUGGGUCGCUAUGAUGUAAAUCUGCAUACUAAUUUGAUACCAAAUUGAAAAGGAAAGUCGAGCAAACAUGAUAAAACAGUAUCCAAUGGACAAAAAUACAUACAAGCAGCGAUAAAGCCUCAUUUUCAGGGGAAUCUCCACUCUCUCCCAUCCUGACACGCACAUACAUUGACAGGUUUUCCAGUGCGGGGAUUGGAACACCAAAUAUAAGUUAAACCUUCAAGAUUAAACACUCUUAAUACACAACAUAAUCAUCAAACUUACUUACUUAUUCAUAUAACUCACAGAGAGCAAUGAAGAACUUCAAGCCUGUCUCCUUCCUUCUUUCUACUAUGAUGGUGUGCUCUGUGCUAUGAGGCGUUCAAGUGCGCUCGUAAUUGUGAGGGUUAGGCGCUAAUUGUUUUUAUUUUUACCCCUGAAACCCCAAUGGUUAGAGUCAGACCAGUUGUCACAGUUGUCCAUGUCGGCUUUUUUAGUAGCGACACUUGUCUUUGCACAGUUUCCUAUGAAACGGUCAAUAAACAUGUUGUAUAUGAUGAGUGUGUUACCGCAAUCAGGUAGUUGUCAUUGUGGGACCAGUCUAGAGGUUUGUCCAGGUACAGCCACCCAUCCUCUGAGAUCUUGACGGCAUCGCUGCCUUCUCCAGUCAGCCUGAAGCCAUUCACACCUGGAUGGUUCACUUGGAACUGAAAGUGACCAGAAACUUACAAAAAAUGACUGUAUGAAGUCAGUAUGUGUGUUUGUGCGUGUAAUACCUGAUAGAGGACAUACGGUACGGGUGUCCCCUCUGGUACCUCCACCACCAUGUUCUCAAAGGAGACCUUCUUGCCCUCCAGGCUCGACCCAUCAGCCUAUCAGAGGUCAAAUGUCGUCAUUUCAAAUAUAACAAACAUUCUGCCCAAGAACUCCACUCCGCCACUUCAGCUCCUAAACAUCACCCAACCAAGAAAUGUCGGUUGUUUAUUGAAGCCAAAUCCCCAGCAAGGACAGGGCGGAUCAAAGGACACAUUUCACUUCAAUGAGUCACCCAUGAGUCAUUCUGUUAAUCACUUAUUAUUGUGUCGUCUGGGAAAUGUGGCGAUUGUGAGGACUUCCUAUGAAUAUGCAGUGUACCGACAGGGUUGUGUACUCACUGAGCUGAGCAGGAGCGCCAGAAGACACAGAUGCACCAUGGGAGUCAUCGUGAUCACAGUCUGGGAAGAAAACGGGAAGUUCUCAGCACAAUGUUCCGCUCGUGUGUUUGCAAUUGUGGAAACACAGUGCAGCUCGCAGUGGAGAUAUUAGCGGUUGUCGACGUAAGCGAAAGCCGUCAUUGCUUUCAUAUUUACUUGUGACUUUGGCCAGAGACGUAAGGGGGAUGGGUGAUCAUAAAGGAUUUCACAACCUGCGGCAGUUUGUUGACACGGUUUUCCUCCAUAUGUGCUAAAUUGAAAUGGGUGCUUUUUGUGAGUUACGGAAAAAAUGAAAGAACUGAAAGAAGAAAAGACCUCGGACCUAUGCCGAAGCUUUGAAAGUAAGCGUCACCUUUCGUUCGCUGUUUUUAUUGAUUUUGACACGACCACAUGCAGUAUCUCCCUUGGAAAAACCACGCUGCUUAGCGAUAGUGAUGAAUUCAACAAUACUACAACACAUGGCAACAUAAAUGCAUCAAUUUUGCCCAGUCGGGUCUCACACUUUAUAUAAGGACACGGUGGACCAGGACUUGAUGAGCUAGUCCACUAAGACGCGGUGUUGACAUAUACGGGUCAAGUGCGUGAUUCCAGUUGAAAGGAUUGAACUCUCAUGGCUUCUUCUGCAUUUUUCUCUGCUGUGUACAGUGUUAUGUCACUGAGUCACAAAGAGCCUCCUGAAGAAAAGCAGCCGUUCGUCCUUGUGAAAGCGCACACGUGCACACUGUAUCCGUCUUUCACUUGCACGUUGAGCCGCACGCAACUUAAUGUCCUCGUAGGCGUGACUCCACCCUGCUGCUACCUAAGCACGCUCGUCCACCCAUCCAUUUUCUAUAUCCAUUGUCCUCACUAGAGUAUGCUGGAGCCUAUCCCAGCUGGGUACACCCUGGACUGGUUGCCCCUCGCCACUUCGCAGCUUCACUCCAUCACAAUUUUUCAAAAAUGUCUUCAUAUAUGUUUUAUGUAUACAGUAUAUAUUAGGGAUGUCAAAGUUAAAACAUUAAUAACGAGCUAAUGGAAAUUCCCUGUAACGCCAGUGUUUUUUUUGACGCGCGAUUAACGUGUGCACGUCCUGUUUGACCCUCAGGCCACACCGUAGUUUGGGAAAAUGCAGCGGCGUUGCAGUUCAUGUUGAGCCACAAGCGGGAACAAGUAUUGAGCAGAAACAGAGAAAGAAAAAGGGUAUUUUAUUAUGGUGAGUUUAUCUUCAAAGCCCUUGAAGAUGGCUAUCUUGACAAGACCUACGUUUUUUUAAAUCUAAUGUCGCUAUGAGUUGAAUUGUCACUAUCGUAUGUCGAGCCUGUAAUGCUACUUGCUGUAUUCAGACGGAGAAACUGAAGAAUCUAGAGAAUGUGCUGGAGCACUGCAGGUAUUUUUUAUUGUCAUUUAAACAGUGGUACCUUGGCAUACAAGUGUCCCAGCUAACAAGUGCUUUUCAUUUACGAGCCGUCUCUCAGCUGCAAGCUAAAAUUUUGAUUACGAGCUGCUUGUUACCGGCAGGCAUAGCCGAAGACAGCUACUUGGAGGGCUUGUGUCACCUUAGUAUGUGGGGACAAAGGCGGAAGUGAGCGAGCACGCACACACAGCGCUCAAUGAGUCAAGUGUGUGUAAAAGCGUGUGUGUGUGUGUGUGUGUGUGUGUAUGUUUGCGUAAAAGCUAAGCUAUAGCCUGACUGCACUACAGUACACGGGCGCAGUCAUAGUUCUGUAAACGACUGACUGAUAAUGAAACAAUAAUAAUAAAUAAUAAAGGCAUAUCUUGUCUUAUCUUAUCUUAUCUGAUCUUGAGCACUUUAUUUUUAGUAAGCUGUCAAUAUUUAUUUUUCUAGCACCCUGUUUUCACUUCACUUAGUUGUUGGGUGUUUUUGCAAACUUUUAUUUGUAAUGUUAGUCACAAGUUAUACUUGCAUAAAGCAAACAUAUUAUCCAGUCUCAUGCUGAUAGGUGUAUUAAAAACAUUAAAAUGAUCUUUCAAAGGUACACUUAUCUGUAAAAACGUCUUUCUAUCUGUGAUUAAUUGUGAUUAAUUACAAGUUAACUAUGUACAAAUUCCAAUUAAUCGUGAUUAAAUAUUAUAAUCGAUUGAGAAGAAGAUGGAAAAUACAUUUUUAUAUCAUGAUAUUAUAUGACUAUAACUUAUAGUUAAUUUUAUCAUUACAUUUAUUCACUGAUUGGCUACCUUGUGUGAGGCGUGUACCACAUACUUUAGUUAGCAAAUACAGUUCCUUGCCUUAUAAAAGGCUACAGUUAUGCACCUAAGAGACACUUCUUUAGGUACACCUGCACAAUCUAUGCAAUCUAAUAUAGGAUUAUGUCUUUACAAUGCUAGCAACAUUAUAGGGGUCUGAUGUAUCUUAUUAUUUAUUAUGUAUUGCGUAAAGCUAAAGCACAAAAUGAAUACAGACCCACCAUCCACCAGUACGACGUUUGACGUGUGCUGUAAAAGGCAGUGUGCUAGCAUGAAUUAACUUGAGCUUGUGCACCGACAAAUAUGCACAUUAGCACUCAAUAGUGUCAUCAAAACUUACCUUUACGCGUUCCCACAUGGUAUCAGCAUUUGGGACCAAAUAUGAGUGAAAGAAGACGGGGAAAAUACAGUAUACUGUAGUCUAUUCGUGCAGCGUGGGAGAAAGUUAGCGCUCCUAAAAUGAGGCGUUCAAGGACCAUCGAACCAAGUUGUACGGCUCACCGCUCACAACAAACAACAUAUACAAGCAAUAUGGGUUUUGUAACUGUAUAUUAUUUUAAAAUAAAAUAAUGGCCCAUAUUUCCAAAAUGUAUACGCAUUUACAUAAAAUUAUUUGUAGUUAUUUACAAAUUUAUGACAAUGUUUUGCUAAUCUGGAGAAAAAAACACAUUUAAUAGACAAUAUUGUCACAAAAAAAAAACAAUAGCUUUUCUAUCGCAUGAUUAGGCAGUUCGUGGCCACACAAAGGACACAUGAAGUGUAGUGAAGGGGGAAGUAGACACAAGUGAAGGUGACAUUGAGCUGUGACCUUUUAGUAAAGUCCCUCAACCAACAUUGUCCAUAUUUAUUCAAACUAAAUGAUUCAUUUUAAUGAUUUUCUUGUCCCAGGGUGAAACAUUUAUAACAUGGAAGCUUAUAAAUACACCCAAGUAGUUAGAUAUGAACUUUUUUUUACCUACAGAGACCAAAGUGUUGUAGUAUUGAGUUGCAAAUGACACAUUUUGCUCUUUUAUCACAUGACUGUCCAUUUAUAGUGUUAGCUUGGAAUAUUUCCAUUUGGCAGUUGUCGCCAAAGAAGGUCUUGAACGUAAGCUCAACGUAUACAAAAAACAUCCAACUUCAACAGAAAUGGCGUUAAAUACUAUAAAAUGCAAAUGAAAAGCAGAGAGCUUAGAUUGAGUGGUCUUACCUUUCUCCGGAGAGAUCUUGCCAGUCACUCCGAGUGGAGACUGAUGUGAGCAGCCUCAUCCUGUCUGGUCAAACGUUAACCACAUUCUAACCUGCAAAGUUUUAUUGGAUCUAAUGAUUGUCUAAUCACCUCUGCCCUCAGCCAAUGAAAGCCUGCCUGAGAGGAAAGAAAGAACGAGAGGAGGAAUACAGUCAGAACGCUAAUGAUAUCAUCUGCUGUAUCACUUUGAUGCUUUCAAACCAAAUAUAUCGCCUAAAAGGCUGCUUUGUUGCUACGCUGAGUUAGAAAACCAUGUCCAGCAUGACCUACUUUGUAAAUAAAUAUUCCUAAACAGUUUCUUACAACGUAUAAAGAUCAAUUACAAUAAAUAGAGGACAUAAUAAAUCUCACUUUUUUGGAAUUUUGCCCAUCAUCCACAGUGAGACAUGUACACACACACACACACACACACGUCUUUCCAUUUUCUGUGAGUUCUGCUAACAAUGCACGUAAUGGGACUCACCUAUUUCGGCUAUAAAGUCCUGUAAAAAAACCCAUAAAAAACCACAACAAAUGUUCCAUUUACAUAAUGUGACCUGUAUAUUAACCGAGCUACAGCGACAUUGUUAUUGUAGGAGCUUACAUCGAAGAACUACUUUCCUGACAUAGUGACACACCACCUCACUCACGCCUCAAGCCACUACCGAGAGGUAAUGUUAGCUACUGGAACUGCUGCUGGGAAAGUUUGGAAAAGUUAACGCUAGGUUAUAAAUCAUGCCUUGCACUUGUAUAGAAGAAGGUUGUGGCAGACUGAAGCAGUGGAUACUUGCUCUCAACUUGGCUAGAUGCCCGUUUGCGCUCAGCAUUUUUUACCAACUGAACGGGGAGCACAGCUGAAAGAUACGCCCAUCCCAUCAGUCGGCAUCCCAAUGAGAGCCGACAUUGGAAGAGACUGUUUUGUUAUGUUACAAUUUUUUCAGUGCAACAUUUAGCACUAGUGCUACAUGAUAAUUAGGGAUGAGCUCGUUUUAGACUAGUACCCAUGACGGAUAAUGCAUUUUUGCAGAGUACGAGCAUAAAACGAUCACUUUUGCCAUCACUGGAUGUUGGCCAUUAUUAGCAAUAGCAAACACUCUUUCUAUGCUGCUGUCGUUGAAGGAAGUAGCGUUCGUUUCUAUGGGCUCUGUGAAAUCAGUGCGCCCAGGAAGGAAGUUCCGGUAUUGUUUAAAAUGACCAAAAUACAGCAAACAUUGUUGGAGGUUUUUGGAGGUGUUUUGAUGGCUUUAGAUGGCUUUACAGGCGGCAUAGGUGUGUCCCAUUACCUGCAUUCUGAGCUGCCUCAUGCUAGCAGUUUUUCACUAUUUAGAAUACAUACAAAAGGGAAAGACAUGUGUAUUGAUGUCUCACAUAAGGGUUGUGGAUGAUUGGCAAAUUCCAAAAAAAGUGCAGUUUUGCUUUAAGUUGUCUUUUUUAAAAAUAUGACUAUUGCCUUUAUUCAUUGUUCUUUCAUCAUCGCAUGUGUUAUAUGCCUCUUUGUUAGAUAUAAAAGGCAGUCGAUAUUUAUUAAGUAAUAUUAUAUAUUAUUAAUACUAGUAUACUAAUACUAGUACUAAUAUACUGUACUAAUACUAUAUCUUAUUAUUACUAGUAUUAUUAUGUAGUAUGUGAGUUUUGUAGUAUGAGCUUUUGAAAUAUUUUAAUCAUUUUUAUCCAUCCAUCCAUCCAUCCAUUUUCCUCCGCUUAUUCAGGUCCGGGUCGUGGAGGCAGCAGUCUUAGUAGGGAAGUCCAGACUUCCCGGUCCCCGGCCACCUCUUCUAGUUCCACCGGAAGGACACCAAGGCUUUCCCAGGCCAGCUGUGAGACAUAAUCCCUCCAGCGUGUCCCAGGUCUGCCCCGGGGCCUUCUCCUGGAUGGGCAUGCCCGGAAAACCUCACCAGGAAGGCACCCGGACUAGAUGCCUGUGCCAACUCAACUGGCUCCUCUUGAUGUGAAGGAGCAGCAGCUCUAUCCUGAGCCACUCCCAGAUGACCGAGCUCCUCACCCUAUCGAUGAGGAAACUCAUUUCAGGUGCUCGUAUCCGCUAUCUCGUUCUUUUGGUCACGACCCAAAGCUCAUGACCAUAGGUGAGGGUGGGACCAUAGAGUGAGCUUUGCCUUCCGGCUCCAUCCGCUUGUCGACCUCACGCUCCAACCUUCCCUCACUCGUGAACAAGACCCUGAGAUACUUGAACCCCUCCACCUGGGGCAGGACCUCAUUCCCAACCCGGAGGGAGCCAUCCACCCUUUUCCCACUGAGAACCAUGGCCUCGGAUUUAGAUCCCAGAAGCUUCACACUCAGACGCAAACCGCCGCAGUAAACGCAAUUUAGAGCAAUGAUAUACAGUACAAGUACAGUAUAAUAGAUUUUUCUUUCAGAGAAAUGAUAAUUAAUUAUUUUAAUUCCAUUUUGUGUUGUUAGUUAUGAAAGGCAGUCGCUAUUUAUUAUAUGUGAUAGUAUAUUAAUAUACAAUACUGUGAUUGGCUGGAGCCCAGUCCAGGGUGUACCCCACCUCUCACCCAAAGUCAGCUGGGAUAGGCUCCGGCAUACCCCCACAACCCUAGGCAGGACAAGCGCAUAGAAAACGAGCACUACACAAUAACGUAUUAUUAGAAUAUUAUUUAUUAUUGUGGUGCACUAUAAGAAUUUUAGUUUUACUGGAGUAACUUUUAAAAAUGUUUAUUCAUUAUCAUUUUAUUUAUGAUACUAUACAAGCUUAAUAUAAUGCUGUAGCAUAAUAGUGAAUUCUUAUUUCCUUUCGUCACUGAUUGGCUGUAUAAAAUCACAUGGUUGUAUCUGAGAGUAGGCGUGGAAGGGUUAGUUUCUUGCACUGUAAAGCAGUAGAAGGUAGUCUCUUACCAUUGGAUUAGACAUUUACCACAAUAGGUAACUGUGAAUUGGACAUUAUGAAAGUAUCUAUAAUCAUUUUGAAAUAUGGAAAACGGCAUAGUAAACUGUACAAAAAGAAGAAGACGGUAGUGUUAAGAGACGAAAAAUUCUACUACUCAGCGCAAAGUUUCUCAUUUUGGACUUUGACCUACACACCAGUGGACUGCUUUCAGAUUGUCCAUUAGUGGCAAUGACUGAUAAGGAUUUUCAUUUUGCCAAUAGCGCUGAUGGAUCACACCCCCUGCCACGGGAAAGCGACAAUAUGAGGUCACGGGGGUCAACUGGCAGGUCACCGUUGUGAACGUUAAACAGUCGACGUUGGCUGCUGCUAAAAUGUCCCAUCAGUGAUACUUAUGCAUAUUUACACGUCUUUACGGAGAAGAUGCCAGCGUCCUUAUCUAUCCAAACAUCCUGUGACAAGCUGUGAAGGAGGAGGAAGAAGGGGAAGAAAAAGGCGACAAUGUGUGUGAAUCCUUAACCGAGAGGAGUGAACAGCCUGUGAAUGAGUCACCGUUUCACAGCAGCGAGGACGUUUGAACACAACCUGUGACUUAGCUGCACCAAGAGCGGCCACAUUAACCAUUAUGUAAUUAUUCAUACAUGGUGACAAACAACAUGCUCCACCUUGUGCCUGGUGCUCUGUUAUGGACGCAGAUGUAGUAACACACACACGCACUACAAACUCACACACAUUGUCUAAUGGGGUGAAAGGAUUUCAUCCUAUCAUGUUUUGAGUGUAACACCUAAAAUGUCCCCGUCAAGACAAACAUGGCCACAAUAAAAGUGGGAUGUCAAGGGUUGUGCUACACAAAGAUAGAAAGACCAGAACACACACACACACACACCGCCUAACGAGGUGAAAGGAGCUCAUCCUAUCAUUUUUGGUGUGGACCAACCAAAAUGUCCUCACAAAAACAAAGGUCACCACAAUAAGGGUGGGGUGUCAAGAGUUGUGCUACACAAAGAUAGAAUGACAAGAACACACACACACACACACACAGUCUAAUAAAGUGAAAGAAGCUCAUGCUAGCAUUUUUCUUGUGUGGAACAAUCAAGAUGUUCUCACAAAGACAAAUGUCCCCACAAUAAGGGUGGGGUGUCAAGAGUUGUGCUACACAAAGAUAAAAAGAUAAGGACACACACACACACACACACACACACACACCAUCUAACGAGGUGAAAGGAGCUCAUCCUAUCAUUUUUUGGAGUGGACCGGCCAAAAUGUCCUCACAAAGAAAAAGGUCCCCACAACAAGGGUGGGGUGUCAAGAGUUGUGCCACACAAAGAUAGAUUGACAAAAAAAACACACACACAAUCAAAUAGAGUGAAAGGAGUUCAUGGUAGUAUUCUCUUGUGUGACCCAACUAAAAUGUCCCCACAAAGACAAAGGUCCCCAUAAUAAGGGUGGGUUGUCAAAGUUGUGCAACAGAAAGAUAGAAAGACAAGUACACUAGGUCCCCAACUUACGAACAUCCAACAUGCGAACAUUCGGAGAUACGAACACAAGCUGACUGGUCUAUAUUUUCAUGUAUUUUGCCUUGUAGUAACUCCAUAAUUAUACUGCUACAUGCUUGACCAGUAGAGGGCACUGUGACACUGCUAAUGGGACCAGCAGGUAGAGGAAGAAGAGGAAGAGGAGAAAGGAAGGCUAAGUUGUAGCUGUAUGAUGCAACCCGGACAGAGCAUGUGAUUAAAGUUGAUGAAGAGUUAAUAGGCCUGCUUAAUUCUACACCACCCACAGAACACUACCUCUUUUAGAAGAGUCUAACAACGACGACCAUUUGUUCUUUUUUUCAGUAACUCCUCCUCCUCCACCACAACGACAUAUGCUCGACCACUCCUCUUCAAAGGACUGAAAGGUCAUGGCAGGACUUGGAUUUGAGCCAGAACGCCACGCUGGGAUUGUUCCUCGCCACCAUCUUGUCCAGGAAACGCUUGGCCUUCAUGGGCAGGCUCUCCCGGCGACCCCGGCGCUUGGCAGCCGCGGCGGCAGCGUCGCUGGAGUUCCGACGCAGACGCAGCUGCCGCACGAUGCCGCGGAAGGCCUCCCACACGUUGUGCUGCAUGGCGGCCGAGGUUUCGAUGAACUUGCAGUCAAAGACAGCGGCGCAGGCACGGCCCUCUGAAACCAGGAAUAACGGUGUCAAAAAAAGGAGGCUACUAUACUGUAGAUGUGGGCAGAUCAACCCAAAUAUUGCAAAAUCAUUCACUUUUCCAAAU